UCAAUGACAGCGAGAGAGCGAGCGAGCCUGGACAGGAGGUGUGUGCAUGGCUCGCCUGGCUCCGGGACACCAGACACUGCUCAGUAUUUGCACCAUCCAGCCCCGCCCCCCGGCUCUGGGUCUCAGGUUCCAGCAGAAGCUGCGGAGGGUUUCAGAGACUCUCCCCAGAGGAAGAAGCCAGUUUCCGCAUCUCCUGCUGUUUUGCUUCGGUCCGAGACACGAUGACCUGGCUCUUCGCUGCUCUGCUGGCCCUGGCCCCACGUGCCCUUUCUCAAGUGCAGCUGGUGGCGUCCGGCCCUGGGGCGGGGCAGGUCUCCGAGCCCCUCACACUCACCUGCGCUGUCUCGGGUGGCUCCAUCACUGAUGAUUACUGGGACUGGUACCGGCAGCUUCCCCGGGGAGCGCUGGACUGGCUGGGAGAGAUUGACUGGUACAACUCGCAGUGGCGCGUAGACUACGCCCCAUCUCUCCAAGGCCGAGUCACCCUCUCCGCGGAUUCCUCCAAGAACCAGUUCUCCCUGCUGCUCCGCUCGCUGACAGCUGCGGACACCGCCACCUAUUACUGCGCCAGGAGAGACACAGUGACACAGAGACAGGGAGCCCUCAGUCAGAAAGGGAGGAACCCGCGCGAGGGAGGGAGGGGGGGCUGAACUCUCCUGGCUUGUCCCCUUCUCUCAACCCCGCUCUGCGAGGGACAAGGUGGGGGAGCCCAUGUCCUUUACCGGACCGACUUCUG